UGGGGAAUAUUGCACAAUGGGCGCAAGCCUGAUGCAGCCAUGCCGCGUGUAUGAAGAAGGCCUUCGGGCUGUAAAGUACUUUCAGUCGGGAGGAAGGUGGUAAGGUUAAUAACCUUAUCAAUUGACGUUACCGACAGAAGAAGCACCGGCUAACUCCGUGCCAGCAGCCGCGGUAAUACGGAGGGUGCAAGCGUUAAUCGGAAUUACUGGGCGUAAAGCGCACGCAGGCGGUUGAUUGAGUCAGAUGUGAAAUCCCCGGGCUUAACCCGGGAAUUGCAUCUGAUACUGGUCAGCUAGAGUCUUGUAGAGGGGGGUAGAAUUCCAUGUGUAGCGGUGAAAUGCGUAGAGAUGUGGAGGAAUACCGGUGGCGAAGGCUGCCCCCUGGACAAAGACUGACGCUCAGGUGCGAAAGCGUGGGGAGCAAACAGG
rnacentral:rRNA from 1 species